rnacentral:lncRNA from 1 species
GCUGGGGAUAUGAUCUUAUCUGUGGAGGAUAAGGAUGAAAGGAAGUGGGAUGCGGUUGAAGUUGGGAUGAUUCUGGGAGUUGAAGCAUAUCCUGUUGAUGUGAAUCCAGGGGAUGAGAGGAAGGAACCGAGCUUCUUCAAUGCGUGGGAGAAGAUCUUGGACGCGGCUGGGACGCGGAGCAGAGGAUUUGAGCUUAUCCGUGGAUGCUGGAAGCUGAACGGAAGGAAGCUUGGGAUGCACGCGGGGAAGACGCGUGAUCUGUGCUGGCUCUCAUCCGGA